UUUGUGGAUCUUGUGGAGACUUAAGAACCAAGACAACUCAGAAGGCUGUGGGCAAAUUUCUGAUAUCAAUUGCACUGCUAUAAAUCCUCGGUCACUCUGUUGAAGUCAAUGGAGUUGCAUCACUCUAGGUUUACAGUAGUAUAAAUAAGACUCCGUUCCCAUCAGCAUUGCAACUUGUAUUUAGGAUACCCAAGAAGCUAGCAAGUUACAAGUGAUCAGCGAACACAUAGUACAUGUAGAUGUCUCAAGCUCUGCUCCAAGGCCUCAUCAGAAUUGUGACAGAAAGAUAAGAUAAUGAAGUGGCUGGCACCAGACUAAAUUAAUAAAAAAUUUAAAUGGGUCAUAUAAUUAAUACCUAUCAACAUGUGUCAAAAAUAGAUUGUCAAACGAACAACACUUUUUU